GCUUCUGAUAAAGAACAUGCCACUUCUAAGGAAUAAGACAUCCUUGCAUGAUCAAAUCCAAUCUAGACAGGCAACCCAAACAUAAACCCUUUCAAGCAUUCAAAUCCUCCUAAUUCAAGGAUCAUAACAGCCAGAAGUCCUUCCUGCUCAACACAGUAUAAUUCUCUAUUUCUCAUACAGUUCAAUAGUUUCACACCCAUUCUACCCAAUAUGAUGCUACAAUUUACAAACAUUUAUUCAGGACCAGCCCAUUA